UAAGCAACAACCUGCCAUGGCUAUACUCAUGGAAUAAUACCUUACAGACAAUAUCCCAGACACCUUAUUACUGUUCCUGGGUUUGUCCUGUCCAGUUCCACCACAGGUGGCAAAGUGAUAUACAAGUGGGAGGGAUUUGGCCUGAGAGUCCUCUAUACAUUUAAACUUAACAUUAAUUUUAUUGGCUCUAACAAUGGUAAUUAAAAGGUUUUACAUUUUCAUGAGCUUGUUGAGCUUUAUGGAGAGUGCCCCACAACAGAUCGCAGUGAAGCGGUCCAGAAAAUGUGUCCUGCAAUGGCAUCACAGUGAAGCAUUCUGGGAUGAGUGUCCCACAUCAACACUGCAAUGGAGCAGUCUGGGAAGAGUGUCAAAAGGUGACGGGGGAAAGACAAAGCAGCUGACUGGGAUAACAUCAAUGACAGGCGGUCAUUGAGACUGGGGACAAGAUAAGAUUCAGAGGAAAGAAUUUGUAAGAUUGCAGGCACCAGGCUUUAUUUGGUAAAGUAAUGGAAAAGGACCAACAUUGUUUAUUUGCCAUGAAAGAUGUUCCCAAUUGGUUGGAAAUAGUGAUAGAAAAUAUACUUGGAAGACAACUGCCUCUAUUAAAAGGACCUGGAAAAAAAGUGGUCAGAGCAGAAUCCUGAGCAGAACUCAAUAUGGAGAAAAGUUGCCAGCACUAAGUGAGAUCUGGAGGGAAGUGGCUACCUGUGCAAAGGAUUGGGAAGGAAGCUAUAUUGUUGCAUCGUUCGCAGGGGAUUUGUUAUUUUAUUGAUGGACAUAACUGGAGGUUUUUAAAUUGUGGAAAGUAUCAAAUUAGAAGCUGUGACCUUUUUCGGGGCCAGAAACCAGAUUAUAGCCUUGGAAAUGAAAAGUUCUCAGUUACUACCAAGAAACAUACCUGACAGACAGUACUUCCAACAAAUGUGAGGGAUGGGCAGCAUUGAAAAUAGUGGCAAAAAGACACUGAGCUGAAAAUAAUA